GUAACGUCGAGAUUGUUCAAGGAGAACGAAACCAACCCCGACUUGAACCGACACGGUGGCAGCCUGCUAAUAUCUAGUCAGAUGGCUUUGCUGAUUGACCCCAUUGACAAAACUUUCGCUAACCUUGUCAGAAAUGCACGCACGUAGAUCCAAUAACAGAAAAAUUAUUAUCGAAGGAUGGUAACAGCUUGAUUUAGCAGUAAUUAGG
rnacentral:lncRNA from 1 species